rnacentral:rRNA from 1 species
UACGAAGGUGGCAAGCGUUACUCGGAAUUACUAGGCGUAAAGGGCAGGUAGGUGGUUUGAUAAGUCUAUUGUGUCAGCUCCCGGCUUAACUGGGAGAGGUCAAUGGAUACUGUUAAACUUGAGUGUAGGAGAGGGUACUGGAAUUCCCGGUGUAGCGGUGAAAUGCGCAGAGAUCGGGAGGAACACCAAUGGCGAAAGCAGGUACCUGGACUAUUACUGACACUGAGCUGCGAAAGCUAGGGGAGCAAAC